rnacentral:rRNA from 1 species
GUAGGUGGCAAGCGUUGUCCGGAAUUAUUGGGCGUAAAGCGCGCGCAGGCGGUUCUUUAAGUCUGAUGUGAAAGCCCACGGCUCAACCGUGGAGGGUCAUUGGAAACUGGAGAACUUGAGUACAGAAGAGGAAAGCGGAAUUCCACGUGUAGCGGUGAAAUGCGUAGAGAUGUGGAGGAACACCAGUGGCGAAGGCGGCUUUCUGGUCUGUAACUGACGCUGAGGCGCGAAAGCGUGGGGAGCAAACAGGGAUUAGAUACCCUGGUAGUCCACGCCGUAAACGAUGAGUGCUAAGUGUUAGGGGGUUUCCGCCCCCUUAGUGCUGCAGCUAACGCAUUAAGCACUCCGCCUGGGAGUACGCCGCAAGGCUG